rnacentral:rRNA from 1 species
GACGAACGCUGGCGGCGUGCUUAACACAUGCAAGUCGAACGGAAAGGCCCUGCUUUUGUGGGGUGCUCGAGUGGCGAACGGGUGAGUAACACGUGAGUAACCUGCCCUUGACUUUGGGAUAACUUCAGGAAACUGGGGCUAAUACCGGAUAGGAGCUCCUGCUGCAUGGUGGGGGUUGGAAAGUUUCGGCGGUUGGGGAUGGACUCGCGGCUUAUCAGCUUGUUGGUGGGGUAGUGGCUUACCAAGGCUUUGACGGGUAGCCGGCCUGAGAGGGUGACCGGCCACAUUGGGACUGAGAUACGGCCCAGACUCCUACGGGAGGCAGCAGUGGGGAAUAUUGAACAAUGGGCGGAAGCCUGAUGCAGCAAAGCCGCGUGCGGGAUGACGGCCUUAGGGUUGUAAACCGCUUUCGCCUGUGACGAAGCGUGAGUGACGGUAAUGGGUAAAGAAGCACCGGCUAACUACGUG